rnacentral:lncRNA from 1 species
CGCUGGGAAAGACUGGGGGCUCACGGAGAAGCUGGCGAGGAGGAGGAGAUGGUUGGAUGGCAUCCCAGACUGGUACACAGACUCAGUGUGUGCACUGUACAACCUCUGUGUGUACAGGUUGGGUGUACACACAGAGAAGUACAUUUGAGUUCUGUUUGCCUGCUUUUUGCUUUCAUCCUGUCCUCCUCUGGGAUGGAAGAACGCUAAAACUUCCUCUGCAGAGCCUGCGGCCAAGACCAGCAGGGCGGCUCCUUCUGUGCGCUCAGCCGCUCCUGGGAGGAUACGCAUUCUCCUGGACAAGGCCUUGACGUCGUCCUGGUUGGUGUCCAGCUGCCUGGAAUGAAGACACGCACGCUUGAUGAACAGUCCACUGAUCCGCUUCAUCUUGUUUCUGCUGUGGGUUAUCCGUACGAGUGACAUAGUGAUGGCACACGGGGCUGCCUCCUCUCCUGAGAACUCGUAUUUAUGGUUAAGAAGACAGUGGUUGAAGGCAGGAGGCAUCUUGGUGAUGACAGCCCUCACGUGUCCGUCCCUCUGGUCACACUGCGUUCAGGGCAGCGUGGAGGCUGCAGGAGUAUCCUGCGGCCCGUCACAGGAGGCCAGUCAAAGCCCAGCAGUAUCCUGCGGCCCGUCACAGGAGGUCAGUCAAAGCCCUCUGCGGUUGGGGAGGAUCUGCUCAUUUGCUCAUCAGAUGGUAAAGCUUCUUGUAGAUGCUGCCUCUAGCUUUUAAAUUAAAUCAUCUGUGCCUUUCUUUUUUUAAAGUGGAUUUAUUUUUAAUGGGGGGAUAAUUGCUUUACAGUAUUGUGUUGGUUUCUGCCACGCCUCAACAUGAACCGGCCAUAGGGAUAACUUCCCUCUUGACCCACUUCCCCGUCUGUGCCUC